rnacentral:tRNA from 1 species
GAGUAGCUCAAUGGUAGAGCGGGUGGCUGUUAACCACUAGGCUGGGGGUUCGAGUCCCUCCUC